rnacentral:rRNA from 1 species
UACAGAGGGGGCAAGCGUUGUUCGGAAUUACUGGGCGUAAAGGGCGCGUAGGCGGCCUUCUAAGUCGAACGUGAAAGCCCAGGGCUCAACCCUGGAAUUGCCUUUAAGACUGCAUCGCUUGAACAUCGGAGAGGUAAGUGGAAUUCCGAGUGUAGAGGUGAAAUUCGUAGAUAUUCGGAAGAACACCAGUGGCGAAGGCGACUUACUGGACGAUUGUUGACGCUGAGGUGCGAAAGCGUGGGGAGCAAACAGG